rnacentral:rRNA from 1 species
ACUCAAAGGAAUAGACGGGGACCCGCACAAGCGGUGGAGUAUGUGGUUUAAUUCGAAACUACGCGAAGAACCUUACCAGCUCUUGACAUGGUGAUCAUACCCUUCGUAAUGGAAGGGGUCGGUUCGGCCGGAUCACACACAGGUGCUGCAUGGCUGUCGUCAGUUCGUGUCGUGAGAUGUUGGGUUAAGUCCCGCAACGAACGCAACCCUUAUCGUUAGUUGCUAACAUUUUAGGUGAGAACUUUAACGAUACUGCCGGUGAUAAACCGGAGGAAGGUGGGGACGACGUCAAGUCAUCAUGGCCCUUAUGGGCUGGGCUACACACGUACUACAAUGGUGGUUACAGAAGGCAGCGAAGGGGCAACCUGGAGCGAAUCCCAAAAAGCCACCUCAGUUCGGAUUGUUCUCUGCAACUCGAGAGCAUGAAGUCGGAAUCGCUAGUAAUCGCAGAUCAGCGUGCUGCGGUGAAUACGUUCCCGGGUCUUGCACACACCGCCCGU